GACGAACGCUGGCGGCGUGCUUAACACAUGCCAGUCGAACGGUGAAGCGCCUUCCUUUUUGGUGGGUGUGGAUGAGUGGCGAACGGGUGAGUAACACGUGAGUAACCUGCCCCCUUCUUCUGGAUAACCGCAUGAAAGUGUGGCUAAUACGGGAUAUUCUGGGUCUGGCGCAUGAUGGGUCUGUGAAAGAUAUUGUUUCGGUGGGGGAUGGGCUGGCGGCCUAUAAGCUGGUUGGGGGGGUGAUGGCCUACCAAGGCGGUGACGGGUAGCCGGCUUGCGGGGGUGGCCGGUCAGACUGGGAGUGCGGCACGGCCGGGACUCCUACGGGGGGCAGCAGUGGGGAAUAUUGCACAGUGGGCGCAAGCCUGAUGCAGCGACGCCGCGUGAGGAAUGGAGGCCUUCGGGUUGUGAACCUCUUUCGCCAGUGAAGCAGGCCUGCCUCGUUUGUGGGUGGGUUGACGGUAGCUGGAUAAGAAGCGCCGGCUAACUACGUG
rnacentral:rRNA from 1 species